rnacentral:rRNA from 1 species
AUUGAACGCUGGCGGCAUGCCUUACACAUGCAAGUCGAACGGUAACAGGUCUUCGGAUGCUGACGAGUGGCGAACGGGUGAGUAAUACAUCGGAACGUGCCUAGUAGUGGGGGAUAACUACUCGAAAGAGUGGCUAAUACCGCAUGAGAUCUGCGGAUGAAAGCAGGGGAUCGCAAGACCUUGUGCUACUAGAGCGGCCGAUGGCAGAUUAGGUAGUUGGUGGGAUAAAAGCUUACCAAGCCGACGAUCUGUAGCUGGUCUGAGAGGACGAUCAGCCACAAUGGGACUGAGAAACGGCCCAGCCUCCUACGGGAGGCAGCAGUGGGGAAUUUUGGACAAUGGGCGCAAGCCUGAUCCAGCAAUGCCGCGUGCAGGAUGAAGGCCUUCGGGUUGUAAACUGCUUUUGUACGGAACGAAAAGCCCCGGGUUAAUACCCUGGGGUCAUGACGGUACCGCAAGAAUAAGCACCGGCUAACUACGUGCCAGCAGCCGCCGUAA